GAUCGAACGGCGUAGCUACAGGCGUUAACACAUGCAAGUCGAGGGGCAGCAAUGAAAGGAACUUCGGUUCUUUUUGAUGGCGACCGGCGCACGGGUGCGUAACGCGUAUCGAACCUGCCUCAUACUCGGGGAUAGCCUUGCGAAAGUAAGAUUAAUACCCGGCGGUCUCGGAUGGCCGCAUGACUAUCCGAGUGAAGAUUUAUCGGUAUGAGAUGGCGAUGCGUCCCAUUAGCUUGUUGGUGAGGUAACGGCUCACCAAGGCAUCGAUGGGUAGGGGUUCUGAGAGGAAGGUCCCCCACAUUGGAACUGAGACACGGUCCAA
rnacentral:rRNA from 1 species